GCUCUAGUAGCUCAACGUAAGAGCACCGGUCUUGUAAUCCGGGGGUCGAAGGUUAAACUCCUCCCUAGCGCU
rnacentral:tRNA from 1 species